rnacentral:lncRNA from 1 species
AUCAGGCCGUCGUGGAGGGUCCGCUCACCUGCCUCAAAUGUUAUCAUCAUAAAUCAUGAGCAAUUCUCUUCUCAGUCAUCAGAUCCAAACAGACCUCACUGGCUUUGGAAAGCUGGCCCGGUGAGACUACUACAGCUCCCCUCAAAGGAACACGCAAGAGAGCAAAACUAGCCGCAAGUGCGAGAAAUUGCUGUUAUUAAGUAGUGCAUGAUUAUUCGAGUACAAUGAAGAGACGUGACAUCAUUCCUCACAAAGCGUCUACUCUACUCUUAAAAAAAUAAAACAGAAAGCCAGGCUGGAGACUUACACCUAUCAUGCUGACAUCCCUGCCUGAGUCCUCAGAGGAGAU